CAACAAGUUACAACAGAAUAUAACAGUUUUGUUAACCUAACGGUUUUUUGUAAUACCUAAAUCUAAUUGAUAGAGUUAAAAGAAGUUUUCUCGAUUUUGCAAAUUGUCACGAAUGAACCGGCAAAGCUAUUGCGACUUUAAUGUACAAAAUGUAAUGACCUGUAAAUAUGAAGGAGCAAAAUCACAUCCAAUGUAAAAGUUUCAAUAUUUUCAGUAGCAGCACAUAACUUUGGGAAACUCUUAAAUCCCCCAUAUGGUUUAAAAUCCUUCAGUCAAUCAAUGAAAGAAACAUGGUUCUUCAAGAGAUCAAUGCCUCCAACGUCUCUCAAGUUAGAAAUAAAGAAAGCCUUCUUGUAGAUUUGCAGCGAAUUUAGAGCAUGUCAAGACGAUUUAGCCAUCAGUAAAAAAAAAUAUACGGAAGCGACCAAGAUGAAGAACUGGAUGAAAAUGGUCAUGAUAUGAAAGAAGAUGAACUCAAUGCAGCUGCAAACAAUUUUGCUUCUUCUUGUCUUCUUAUACAACUUAUUGAAUGCCAUAAAUGCUCGAAAAUUACAAACACUUUUCUCAAAUAUUGGCACCGUUUCGAGGAUAUUUUGCACUUUUCCCGUUUUUUUUAAGGAUCCAAAAUUUUCAUCGAUAUUGCUCGCCACAGGGCAAUAUUUCAGUACUAUCUACACUGUGCCUAGAGGCAGAAUUAGCCAAGAAGUUGGAUUUCCAGAUUAAACUGCGUGUUCAAAAACUUAAUCAUGAUAGUCAACAGAUUUGAAGAGAACCGUUUUUUCAUUAAUUAGAACGAUAAAUAAAUGUUUAAAUGAGA